rnacentral:sRNA from 18 species
AUCAAAUGAAGACCUCCUAACUUUAUUUGAUAGAAAUCCUAAAACUUUUUCAUAAUAAUCUCCCAUAAGAGCCACCAAAUUCGGUGGCUUUUUU